GCGGGGAAUAUUGGGCAAUGGGCGAAAGCCUGACCCAGCAACGCCGCGUGAAGGAAGAAGGUUUUCGGAUCGUAAACUUCUAUCCUUGGUGAAGAUAAUGACGGUAGCCAAGAAGGAAGCCCCGGCUAACUACGUGCCAGCAGCCGCGGUAAUACGUAGGGGGCAAGCGUUGUCCGGAAUGAUUGGGCGUAAAGGGCGCGUAGGCGGCCCGGUAAGUCUGAAGUGAAAGUCCUGCUUUUAAGGUGGGAAUUGCUUUGGAUACUGUCGGGCUUGAGUGCAGGAGAGGUAAGCGGAAUUCCCGGUGUAGCGGUGAAAUGCGUAGAGAUCGGGAGGAACACCAGUGGCGAAGGCGGCUUACUGGACUGUAACUGACGCUGAGGCGCGAAAGUGUGGGGAGCAAACAGGAUUAGAAACCCCUGUAGUCC
rnacentral:rRNA from 1 species